UUAAAGCAUAAUAUUGAAAUCAAUUCUAAACAAUUAACACAAUUAUCAAAUUAAGCUUCUACUUAUAACAGUAAUAUCCAAUUAAGACUGUACACGCAUCCAAAUUAAGCUUCUACUUUUAGGUAAAAGCUUGUACACGCAUGCCAGAAUCACUUGGGCCAAAGGCCCAAGUCUCACCAACACGAUUUGGUUUCAAAAUAAUGCUUCAGAGCGUACCUUCAAACUUUCCCCGGAAUGAGCGAUUGUGAGACCUCACGGACCAGCUGAAGCCGCUCGCAUUAACCUCGCAUCAUUGACGUCGGUGCUUCGUCGAUGAGGGAGAAGGAUCACCUUCAGUCGGUAACGCGUGGUCGACGUAGAACAAGAAUCAAUCUCAAUCGAAAAUCCACCGUCGAGGAAAAGUGAGAGUCAAUCUUCAAUGGAAAUGCGUUGUCGAUGAAAAUUGAUCGUUGACGAUGAUUGGAAUGGAGCGAUGCAUCGCCGCUUGAAGUGGAACGUAGAAUGACGAUGCUCGAGUCGAAAGAUGACGAGCGGAAGCGAAUCAAUUCCGAAAAGUUCUGGUGAGUUGUUGCUUGUUGAUGGUGAAGAAUCACCGUCGUCGUUUGUCGCGGUGGAGAAGCAUCACGGUGAUGAAGGUUGAUCGCAUUUGAUGAAGAGAAGAUCGAAGUGUUGACGAUGCGAAGGUUGAAGUGGAGUUAUAGUGUGAAGGUUGAAGUGGAGUUUACGGUGAUGGAUGGGGAGAGAAGAGAAGGAUUUACGGAGAAGAUACUCGAAGCCGGUUAUCUCUUCUACGAGUUCAAGAAGAAGAUUGAAGGUGAGGUUGAAGGUUUUCUUGGCUCUGCUGAAACUAUGUUAGAGGGAGAGUAUGCGUGGAAGUCUGUUAUGAGCCUUUGUGGUGAACGAAAGAAGAAAAAUGAAGAGAGCCGUGAAUGAGUGCGUGAUGUUAGAUUUAUAGGCUCAGAAUUCGGUUAGGAAAUGCAAAGUUAGUUGGAUUAUCUUUCUGUUAUUCAUUUUUUUGCCGUUCUUUUCAAGUUAUGCAGGUUAUUUAUGCCGGAGUUCCCGUUGUUAGGGUUGUGCAGUAGCUUUGAGUUUGGAUUGGUUUUGAUACGCUGCUGUUAGCUUUUCAGCUUCACGGUGCACAAGCCGUUUCUGUUGUAUUAUUUGGAUGCUGGCGGAAAUUGGCUUUGAGCUGAUGCCGUUUGGAUAUUGCAACUUGCGUUUGUAGCUGCCGCUUUCACAUAUGGCUUGUUUGCAUUUGGUUUCCGUUUCGGCGUUUCUGUGAUGCGUUUGGCUUAAAUUGUAGCAGCUUUUGGAAGUGUGUUUGUCUUGACUUCGCUUUCAUGCCGCGUUUCAUGGCUUUGCAGCUUACGCUUGGCUUGUUGCUUUGUUUGCAUUGAAGCUUUGGAUUGUUUUCACAUGUACUUUCCUGCUGCAUUUUUAUUGCUUUUGGCAUUGCAUCUCAAAUGCUGUUUUGGGCUUUAUGGUUUGGACAUGAAUUAAUAUGAGGAUAUGGAUUAAUGGAUUAAUUGAAUGAAAUUGGAUUUGAAUGGUUUGGUUAA